UUAAUUGAAGAGUUUGAUCAUGGCUCAGAUUGAACGCUGGCGGCAGGCCUAACACAUGCAAGUCGAGCGGCAGCGGGAAGGUAGCUUGCUAUCUUUGCCGGCGAGCGGCGGACGGGUGAGUAAUGCCUAGGGAUCUGCCCAGUCGAGGGGGAUAACAGUUGGAAACGACUGCUAAUACCGCAUACGCCCUACGGGGGAAAGGAGGGGACCUUCGG
rnacentral:rRNA from 1 species